rnacentral:tRNA from 1 species
UGGCUCAGAGGUUAAAGCGUCUGCCUCCAAUGCUGGAGACCCGGGUUCGAUCCCUGG